rnacentral:rRNA from 1 species
UACGGAGGGUGCGAGCGUUGUCCGGAAUCACUGGGCGUAAAGGGCGCGUAGGCGGUCUCUCAAGGCUCGUGUGAAAGUCCGGGGCUCAACCCCGGAUCGGCAGGGGCGACUGAGAGGCUGGAGCUCUGUAGAGGCGGGCGGAAUUCCGGGUGUAGCGGUGGAAUGCGUAGAGAUCCGGAAGAACACCGGUGGCGAAGGCGGCCCGCUGGGCAGUGGCUGACGCUGAUGCGCGACAGCGUGGGGAGCAAACAGG